rnacentral:rRNA from 1 species
GACGAACCGUGCAAACGUUGUUCGGAAUCACUGGGCUUAAAGGGCGCGUAGGCGGGGCUUCAAGUCCGGGGUGAAAGCCCCCAGCUUAACUGGGGAAGUGCCUUGGAUACUGAAGCUCUCGAGGGAGGUAGGGGCGUGCGGAACUUCCGGUGGAGCGGUGAAAUGCGUAGAUAUCGAAAGGAACACCGAUGGCGAAAGCAGCGCGCUGGACCUCUUCUGACGCUGAGGCGCGAAAGCUAGGGGAGCAAACGGG